rnacentral:rRNA from 1 species
ACGAACGCUGGCGGCGUGCCUAAUACAUGCAAGUCGAGCGAGUCUGCCUUGAAGAUCGGAGUGCUUGCACUCUGUGAAACAAGAUACAGGCUAGCGGCGGACGGGUGAGUAACACGUGGGUAACCUGCCCAAGAGAUCGGGAUAACACCUGGAAACAGAUGCUAAUACCGGAUAACAACAGAUGAUGCCUAUCAACUGUUUAAAAGAUGGUUCUGCUAUCACUCUUGGAUGGACCUGCGGUGCAUUAGCUAGUUGGUAGGGUAACGGCCUACCAAGGCGAUGAUGCAUAGCCGAGUUGAGAGACUGAUCGGCCACAUUGGGACUGAGACACGGCCCAAACUCCUACGGGAGGCAGCAGUAGGGAAUCUUCCACAAUGGACGCAAGUCUGAUGGAGCAACGCCGCGUGAGUGAAGAAGGGUUUCGGCUCGUAAAGCUCUGUUGUUGGUGAAGAAGGACGGGGGUAGUAACUGACCUUUGUUUGACGGUAAUCAAUUAGAAAGUCACGGCUAACUAAGUG